GGAUGGGGUUAAAAGCAGCCCCGCGCCCCGUAGGGGCCCAUUGCUCCCCAGCCAGCACCCAGCACGGGCCACCAGCACCUGGCACUCACCUCCACGGCCGGCGUGGGUCACCCACAGCCGGGGAAGGCCGCCCGCGCCCCGAGCCGGUAACAGGGACCCAGCGAGGCGCCCGCGCCGUGCUGGAGGAGCAGCGCGGGGUGUCCUGGGGCAAUGGCAUCUGUGGCCCUGGUGCCACCGUGAGGGGGGCAGUGGGUGCCGGGGGCCACUGACAGCCAGGACAGACCGCGUGGACGUGGAGGCUGGUGUGGCAGGAGGUGACACUGCCAGAGGCUCUCUGUCCCGGGGCCGGACCACACCUGCCAUUCGCGCCCGUGGCCACAGCAAGGCCGGGGUGCCCCGUGGGGGGCCCCGUGUGGGGGAAGGAGCUCCACGCCGAGGAGAGCGGCCGCCGACAGCGACUCAGAGACAGUGCAGUCACCCAUAAAGUAGAAAGCACUACUAAACAGCACUGCAGGGUGUAGUGUUUCCUACUUUAUGGAUGAGUGUACUGUGGGCUACGGAGAAGAGACCACGGAGCAGCGCCGGACCCACGAGCCCAUCGGGAGUCGCCGCGGCCCUGCCCGGCUGACGGCACCAGGCAGAGCUCACCACCCUCCUGCCAUGCUCUCCUUGUCCCCACGUCCCCCUGGCACCUGGGACGGCCACGUGGGCACAGGGGCUGCCAGCCCCUCCCAUCGGAGUGAGCCCCGCACCGGCAGGCCAGGUAGACAGCAGGGACUCCAAUGCACAAUUUACCGCAUCUUCAUUUCCCAGCUCUGGGAAGAGCUGGGCAGUGGUGGCCAUGUGCAGCAGGGGAGGCAGAGUGGGGUUCCUAGUGGGUUCAGCAGGGUGGGGAACUGCUAAAUAAAACUCUUUUGGUAUUGACUUGUGGAUUUUUUAAUGCAAUUCCCGGGAAAUGCAGAACUGGGGAAAAGCUCUUUGCUGUGCCCAGGACCCUGUGCAGUGUAGUCAUUCCAGAUUUGGAGCCUUGGGGAGCCUUGAGGACAUCACAGCUGGGGGUGGUGGCCAGCAAAUGUCAGCCCAAGGACACAGGACUGUCCCCUUCAGUCCCUUGAGGGUCACCAGCAAAGCUGCUGUGUCCCAUGGCAGCCCCAGCCAUGCUCACAAAGCCAUGUGAAGCCAAAAAAUCCUCCUGCAAUCCCCAUCUCCCUCCAUCCACACACCCCUGGCUGUGUUUCCUGGGGGUCUAAAACCAACCCAGCUUCCACUGAGGAGGUUUGGUCCUUGUUCCCAAUGUCAGCUCUCAAAACCCCUUCAGGCAUCCCUUUGUCUUUGACUCCCCAUGUCCUGCCCGUGGGAGAGAGGAUCUAAAAAUAGUAAAAAAAAUAUUAAAAAUACUGCUUUUG